UCUCCAUCACCCCUGCAAGCUGUAAACCUAGGUGUCUGAAUCAGCGUCUGCCAAGCCCUUCCCGGGCCGCCAGCCGCUCCCAGGAAAAAUUCUGCCAUUCCUCUCGCGAAACAGAAGAGGGCGCUCGCUCGUUUCAAAAAACCAAACACAGGCCUGAGUGAUUUCUGGCGGAUGCCAUGCAGGAAAAGCUGAAGUAGGCAACUGAGCUCCCUGGAGAUGGCCCUCCAUCUUGCUUGACUACAAUGGGUGCUCUCUGGUCCCACUCACCAAUGAGGAGCUCAAGGGCAAUGCGAUCAGAGGACUCAUAUUCCCGGUUCAAGAAAAGGAUCAUGUGGAAGGGCUGCCCACGGCGCACAAUCAGCUCAUCAUAUUCAAACUCAUCCGUGUGGUGCUCUCGGCGGUUCUGGUCUGAUCGUGAGCACAGCAGAUCCACACCAGUCACAACCAGC
rnacentral:lncRNA from 1 species